rnacentral:rRNA from 1 species
GAUAAACGCUGGCGGCGCACAUAAGACAUGCAAGUCGAACGAACUUAACCUUUAGUUUACUAAUGGAGCGGUUAGUGGCGGACUGGUGAGUAACACGUAAGCAACCUGCCUAUCAGAGGGGAACAACAGUUAGAAAUGACUGCUAAUACCGCAUAUACCUAAGCAUCGCAUGAUGCAAUAGGGAAAGGAGCAAUCCGCUGAUAGAUGGGCUUGCGUCUGAUUAGCUAGUUGGUGGGGCAACGGCCUACCAAGGCAACGAUCAGUAGCCGGACUGAGAGGUUGAACGGCCACAUUGGGACUGAGAUACGGCCCAG